rnacentral:rRNA from 1 species
GAUGAACGCUGGCGGCGUGCCUAACACAUGCAAGUCGAGCGGUAACACUUCGGGUGACGAGCGGCGGACGGCUGAGUAACACGUAGGAACGUACCCCAAACUGAGGGAUAAGCACCAGAAAUGGUGUCUAAUACCGCAUGUGCUCUUCGGAGUAAAGCUACGGCGGUUUGGGAACGGCCUGCGCAUGAUUAGCUUGUUGGUGAGGUAAUGGCUCACCAAGGCGACGAUCAUUAGCUGGUCUGAGAGGAUGAUCAGCCAGACUGGGACUGAGAACGGCACAGACUCCUACGGGAGGCAGCAGUGGGGAAUUUUCCACAAUGGGGGCAACCCUGAUGGAGCAACGCCGCGUGCAGGAUGAAUGCCUUCGGGUUGUAAACUGCUUUUAUCUGUGACGAUUAUGACGGUAGCAGAUGAAUAAGGAUCGGCUAACUCCGUGCCAGCAGCCGCCGCAG